rnacentral:rRNA from 1 species
CGGGAAUUUUGGGCAAUGGGCGAAAGCCUGACCCAGCAACGCCGCGUGAGGGAUGAAGUAUUUCGGUAUGUAAACCUCGAAAGAAUGGGAAGAAUAAAUGACGGUACCAUUUAUAAGCUCCGGCUAACUACGUGCCAGCAGCCGCGGUAAUACGUAGGGAGCAAGCGUUGUUCGGAUUUACUGGGCGUAAAGGGCGCGUAGGCGGCGCGGUAAGUCACUUGUGAAAUCUCUGAGCUUAACUCAGAACGGCCAAGUGAUACUGCUGUGCUAGAGUGCGGAAGAGGCAACCGGAAUUCUUGGUGUAGCGGUGAAAUGCGUAGAUAUCAAGAGGAACACCUGAGGCGAAGGCGGGUUGCUGGGCCGACGCUGACGCUGAUGCGCGAAAGCCAGGGGAGCAAACG